rnacentral:rRNA from 1 species
AGUGAACGCUGGCGGUAGGCCUAACACAUGCAAGUCGAACGGCAGCACAGUAAGAGCUUGCUCUUACGGGUGGCGAGUGGCGGACGGGUGAGGAAUACAUCGGAAUCUACUUUUUCGUGGGGGAUAACGUAGGGAAACUUACGCUAAUACCGCAUACUACCUACGGGUGAAAGCAGGUGAUCUUCGGACCUUGCGCGAUUGAAUGAGCCGAUGUCGGAUUAGCUAGUUGGCGGGGUAAAGGCCCACCAAGGCGACGAUCCGUAGCUGGUCUGAGAGGAUGAUCAGCCACACUGGAACGGAGACACGGUCCAGACUCCUACGGGAGGCAGCAGUGGGGAAUAUUGGACAAUGGGCGCAAGCCUGAUCCAGCCAUACCGAGUGGGUGAAGAAGGCCUUCGGGUUGUAAAGCCCUUUUGUUGGGAAAGAAAAGCAGCAGGUUAAUACCCCGCUGUUCUGACGGUACCCAAAGAAUAAGCACCGGCUAACUUCGUG